GAUUAACGCUAGCGGCAGGCAUAAUACAUGCAAGUUGAACGAGAUUAGUUUUAGCAAUAGAACUAGUUUAGUGGCGCACGGGUGCGUAACGCGUAUGCAACCUACCUUAAACAGGGGAAUAGCCUCUCGAAAGAGAGAUUAAUACCGCAUAAUAUAUAUUUAAUGCAUAUUAGAUAUAUUAAACCUACGGGGGUUUAAGAUGGGCAUGCGUGACAUUAGCUAGUUGGUGAGGUAACGGCUCACCAAGGCAACGAUGUCUAGGGGGUCUGAGAGGAUGUCCCCCCACACUGGUACUGAGACACGGACCAGACUCCUACGGGAGGCAGCAGUAGGGAAUAUUGGUCAAUGGGGGGCAACCCUGAACCAGCCAUGCCGCGUGCAGGAAUAAGGCCCUAUGGGUCGUAAACUGCUUUUGAACGGGAGAAAUCAUUUACGUGUAAAUAGUUGACGGUACCGUUAGAAUAAGGAUCGGCUAACUUCGUGCCAGCAGCCGC
rnacentral:rRNA from 1 species